GCAGUCGCCACGGUAAUACAGAGGGUGCGAGCGUUAAUCGGAUUUACUGGGCGUAAAGCGUGCGUAGGCGGCUUUUUAAGUCGGAUGUGAAAUCCCUGAGCUUAACUUAGGAAUUGCAUUCGAUACUGGGAAGCUAGAGUAUGGGAGAGGAUGGUAGAAUUCCAGGUGUAGCGGUGAAAUGCGUAGAGAUCUGGAGGAAUACCGAUGGCGAAGGCAGCCAUCUGGCCUAAUACUGACGCUGAGGUACGAAAGCAUGGGGAGCAAACAGGAUUAGAUACCCCCGUAGUCCCUGUCUCUUAUAC
rnacentral:rRNA from 1 species